rnacentral:lncRNA from 1 species
AUGCCAGGUACAGAUGGAAAACCAGGUUUUCCUGGCAUUGCUGGACAUCCUGGAGAUGUGGGUCCAAAAGGGGAGAAGGGUGACCCAGGACCUCAGGGCAAACCAGGACAGGAUGGGACCAGUAUUGUGGGACCUCCUGGACCACCAGGACCACCAGGACCAAUCAUAGCAAUACCUGAGGUAAGCAUGUUUGUUGAGCAUUAAAGUCUCUGUAAUUCAUCUGACAGAGAAGAGGGAACAAGUGGUUAACAAACUGUCAAUUCUGCUGCUGA